UACGUAGGGUGCAAGCGUUAAUCGGAAUUACUGGGCGUAAAGCGCACGUAGGCGGCUUGGUAAGUUAGAGGUGAAAGCCCGGAGCUCAACUCCGGAAUUGCCUUUAAGACUGCCGAGCUAGCAGGUGAGAGAGGUGAGUGGAAUUCCGAGUGUAGAGGUGAAAUUCGUAGAUAUUCGGAAGAACACCAGUGGCGAAGGCGGCUCACUGGCUCAUACUGGACGCUGAGGUGCGAAAGCGUGGGGAGCAAACAGG
rnacentral:rRNA from 1 species